GGUCGGCUCUGUCCCCAAGCACCUGUGAUUUCAAUUGUAAACUGUAAUUCACGGCCUAAUCUUGCAUUAAAUUGAAUUUGCUAUUGAGUUAAAUAUUUUAAACAUGUAUAAUGGGAUUUUUAACACGUUAUUUAUCAGCAGGUCUGAGAUUCAUUGUUAUUUUGUAUACUUAAAGUUCAUAAACAUGUAUAUAUAUUAUUGUUUGUUCUGUAUUCGUUGUGUAUCGGACGUAUUUUCUAAAAUAAAGUGACAACUGUG
rnacentral:misc_RNA from 1 species